rnacentral:rRNA from 1 species
AGUUUGAUCAUGGCUCAGAAUGAACGCUGGCGGCGUGCUUAACACAUGCAAGUCGUACGAGAAAGCUUGAAGCUUGCUUUAAGCGAGUAAAGUGGCGCACGGGUGAGUAACGCGUGGGUAAUCUGCCUUUGAAUUCGGGAUAACCCGCCGAAAGGCGUGCUAAUACCGGAUAACAUCCGUACCUCUUCGGAUGUAUGGAUCAAAGACAGCCUCUACAUGUAAGCUGUUGUUUGGAGAUGAGCCCGCGUCCCAUUAGCUUGUUGGUAGGGUAACGGCCUACCAAGGCGACGAUGGGUAGCUGGUCUGAGAGGAUGAUCAGCCACACUGGAACUGGAACACGGUCCAGACUCCUACGGGAGGCAGCAGUGAGGAAUUUUGCGCAAUGGGGGCAACCCUGACGCAGCAACGCCGCGUGAGUGAAGAAGGCCUUCGGGUCGUAAAGCUCUGUCAAGUGGGAAGAAACUGUUUGGUGCCAACAGCAUUAAGCACUGACGGUACCACUGAAGGAAGCACCGGCUAACUCCGUGCCAGCAGCCGCGGUAAUACGGAGGGUGCAAGCGUUAUUCGGAUUUACUGGGCGUAAAGGGCGCGUAGGCGGUUUGAUAAGUCAGUUGUGAAAGCCCGGGGCUUAACCCCGGAAGUGCAAUUGAAACUGUCAGGCUUGAGUAUGGUAGAGGGAAGUGGAAUUCCUGGUGUAGCGGUGAAAUGCGUAGAUAUCAGGAGGAACACCGGUGGCGAAGGCGACUUCCUGGACCAAUACUGACGCUGAGGCGCGAAGGCGUGGGUAGCAAACAGGAUUAGAUACCCUGGUAGUCCACGCAGUAAACGGUGAUCACUAGGUGUUGCGGGUGUUGACCCCUGCAGUGCCGCAGCUAACGCAUUAAGUGAUCCGCCUGGAGUCCAGCG